UAAGGAAUAUUGCGCAAUGGGGGAAACCCUGACGCAGCAACGCCGCGUGGAGGAUGACACUUUUCGGAGCGUAAACUCCUUUUAUCAGGAAAGAAUAAUGACGGUACCUGAUGAAUAAGCACCGGCUAACUCCGUGCCAGCAGCCGCGGUAAUACGGGGGGUGCAAGCGUUACUCGGAAUCACUGGGCGGAUAGGACGCGUAGGCGGAUUAUCAAGUCUUUUGUGAAAUCUAGUGGCUUAACCACUAAACUGCUUAGGAAACUGAUAGUCUAGAGUAGGGGAGAGGUAGAUGGAAUUCUUGGUGUAGGGGUAAAAUCCGUAGAGAUCAAGAAGAAUACCCAUUGCGAAAGCGAUCUGCUGGAACCUAACUGACGCUGAGGCGUGAAAGCGUGGGUAGCAAACAGG
rnacentral:rRNA from 1 species